rnacentral:rRNA from 1 species
UUGAACGCUGGCGGUAUGCUUUACACAUGCAAGUCGAACGGGCUAUGGGGCUUGCUCCAUAGUUAGUGGCGAACGGGUGAGUAAUAUAUCGGAACAUAUCCGGAAGUGGGGGAUAACGUAGCGAAAGUUACGCUAAUACCGCAUAUGCCCUGAGGGGGAAAGCAGGGGACCGCAAGGCCUUGCGCGGACGGAGCGGCCGAUGGCAGAUUAGGUAGUUGGUGGGAUAAAAGCUUACCAAGCCGACGAUCUGUAGCUGGUCUGAGAGGACGACCAGCCACACUGGGACUGGGACACGGCCCAGACUCCUACGGGAGGCAGCAGUGGGGGAUUUUGGACAAUGGGGGAAACCCUGAUCCAGCCAUGCCGCGUGCAGGAUGAAGGCCUUCGGGUUGUAAACUGCUUUUGUACGGAACGAAAAGAUCUCUUCUAAUAAAGGGGGUUCAUGACGGUACCGUAAGAAUAAGCACCGGCUAACUACG